GUCGAGCGGAACGAGUUAACUGAAUCUUCGGGGGACGUUAACGGCGUCGAGCGGCGGACGGGUGAGUAAUGCCUAGGAAAUUGCCCUGAUGUGGGGGAUAACCAUUGGAAACGAUGGCUAAUACCGCAUAAUCUCUUCGGAGCAAAGAGGGGGACCUUCGGGCCUCUCGCGUCAGGAUAUGCCUAGGUGGGAUUAGCUAGUUGGUGAGGUAAUGGCUCACCAAGGCGACGAUCCCUAGCUGGUCUGAGAGGAUGAUCAGCCACACUGGAACUGAGACACGGUCCAGACUCCUACGGGAGGCAGCAGUGGGGAAUAUUGCACAAUGGGCGCAAGCCUGAUGCAGCCAUGCCGCGUGUAUGAAGAAGGCCUUCGGGUUGUAAAGUACUUUCAGCAGUGAGGAAGGUUCAUGCGUUAAUAGCGUAUGGAUUUGACGUUAGCUGCAGAAGAAGCACCGGCUAACUCCGUGCCAGCAGCCGCGGUAAUACGGAGGGUGCGAGCGUUAAUCGGAAUUACUGGGCGUAAAGCGCAUGCAGGUGGUUUGUUAAGUCAGAUGUGAAAGCCCGGGGCUCAACCUCGGAAUUGCAUUUGAAACUGGCAGACUAGAGUACUGUAGAGGGGGGUAGAAUUUCANGUGUAGCGGUGAAAUNCGUAGAGAUCUGAAGGAAUACCGGUGGCGAAGGCGGCCCC
rnacentral:rRNA from 1 species